rnacentral:rRNA from 1 species
UACGUAGGGGGCUAGCGUUGUCCGGAAUCAUUGGGCGUAAAGCGCGUGUAGGCGGUCCGGUAAGUCCGCUGUGAAAGUCGGGGGCUCAACCCUCGGAUGCCGGUGGAUACUGUCGGGCUUGAGUACGGAAGAGGCGAGUGGAAUUCCUGGUGUAGCGGUGAAAUGCGAAGAUAUCAGGAGGAACACCAAUUGCGAAGGCAGCUCGCUGGGACGUUACUGACGCUGAGACGCGAAAGCGUGGGGAGCAAACAGG